rnacentral:misc_RNA from 1 species
CUAUGAGCAAGGUUUUCUUUCAAUUUCAGCAUUGAACCAGAAUGACAUGGUUUCGAGACAUUUACAUGGAUCAACAGUAUCGGCUCUUUGUGGUAUAAGUCUCUGCAACCCUUUGAACAUAUUGUACAUCACGCAAACCCCUCCACCAAGUUAUAGCUUUGACCAGUGAUGCAGCAAAAUCUUUGAAGCUAACCUGAUCCCUUUAGAAAAUUUGAGAUGGUCCAACUGCAAGAUCUGCAACUAAUCCCAUAUUGUCUGUCCUCUUCAUUCAGAAGGUUCUAUUUAAUCUUUAUGUCGG